rnacentral:rRNA from 1 species
UUAAAUUGAAGAGUUUGAUCAUGGCUCAGAUUGAACGCUGGCGGCAGGCCUAACACAUGCAAGUCGAACGGUAACAGGAAGCAGCUUGCUGCUUCGCUGACGAGUGGCGGACGGGUGAGUAAUGUCUGGGAAACUGCCUGAUGGAGGGGGAUAACUACUGGAAACGGUAGCUAAUACCGCAUAACGUCGCAAGACCAAAGAGGGGGACCUUCGGGCCUCUUGCCAUCGGAUGUGCCCAGAUGGGAUUAGCUUGUUGGUGGGGUAACGGCUCACCAAGGCGACGAUCCCUAGCUGGUCUGAGAGGAUGACCAGCCACACUGGAACUGAGACACGGUCCAGACUCCUACGGGAGGCAGCAGUGGGGAAUAUUGCACAAUGGGCGCAAGCCUGAUGCAGCCAUGCCGCGUGUAUGAAGAAGGCCUUCGGGUUGUAAAGUACUUUCAGCGGGGAGGAAGGGAGUAAAGUUAAUACCUUUACUCAUUGACGUUACCCGCAGAAGAAGCACCGGCUAACUCCGUGCCAGCAGCCGCGGUAAUACGGAGGGUGCAAGCGUUAAUCGGAAUUACUGGGCGUAAAGCGCACGCAGGCGGUUUGUUAAGUCAGAUGUGAAAUCCCCGGGCUCAACCUGGGAACUGCAUCUGAUACUGGCAAGCUUGAGUCUCGUAGAGGGGGGUAGAAUUCCAGGUGUAGCGGUGAAAUGCGUAGAGAUCUGGAGGAAUACCGGUGGCGAAGGCGGCCCCCUGGACGAAGACUGACGCUCAGGUGCGAAAGCGUGGGGAGCAAACAGGAUUAGAUACCCUGGUAGUCCACGCCGUAAACGAUGUCGACUUGGAGGUUGUGCCCUUGAGGCGUGGCUUCCGGAGCUAACGCGUUAAGUCGACCGCCUGGGGAGUACGGCCGCAAGGUUAAAACUCAAAUGAAUUGACGGGGGCCCGCACAAGCGGUGGAGCAUGUGGUUUAAUUCGAUGCAACGCGAAGAACCUUACCUGGUCUUGACAUCCACGGAAGUUUUCAGAGAUGAGAAUGUGCCUUCGGGAACCGUGAGACAGGUGCUGCAUGGCUGUCGUCAGCUCGUGUUGUGAAAUGUUGGGUUAAGUCCCGCAACGAGCGCAACCCUUAUCCUUUGUUGCCAGCGGUCCGGCCGGGAACUCAAAGGAGACUGCCAGUGAUAAACUGGAGGAAGGUGGGGAUGACGUCAAGUCAUCAUGGCCCUUACGACCAGGGCUACACACGUGCUACAAUGGCGCAUACAAAGAGAAGCGACCUCGCGAGAGCAAGCGGACCUCAUAAAGUGCGUCGUAGUCCGGAUUGGAGUCUGCAACUCGACUCCAUGAAGUCGGAAUCGCUAGUAAUCGUGGAUCAGAAUGCCACGGUGAAUACGUUCCCGGGCCUUGUACACACCGCCCGUCACACCAUGGGAGUGGGUUGCAAAAGAAGUAGGUAGCUUAACCUUCGGGAGGGCGCUUACCACUUUGUGAUUCAUGACUGGGGUGAAGUCGUAACAAGGUAACCGUAGGGGAACCUGCGGUUGGAUCACCUCCUUACCUUAAAGAAGC